CUUCUAAUGGGUACACUGCAGAGCCGAUUGGAUGCAGAAUUCCUUCUACCUCAUAUGUGCUCUGUAAAAUUCAAAGACUGAAUAGUGGUUAUGGCAACUCUUUUUAGAUGAUCUAAGGUAUAAUGCCCAAUUAUUGCUUUUGCUUUAUCUGUUUUACCUUGCAACAUUUUGAAAUUUAUGAGAAGCAUAAAAUUACUGAGCCAAAAUUGAGGAUCUGAACUUUCGUAAAAAUAUUUGUAUUUUUAAAUUAUAAAAUAUUGCAUUUGAUGCUUUAGGUGGAACUUAGUUCACUACAGAAAGGAAAAUUAUGUUGGGCAUAACCAGAUGUUUUUCAAGAGAAAAUUUCACUGAUAUUUUUCUGAGGAUUUUACUUGGCCAUCUUAUUUCAAGCUGCUUGAAUUUUUUCUUUAUAUCAUCUUGGUUGUAUACUAUAACUCGUUGAAUUUGCUAGCACUUUUGCUAGUUGUUUAUUCUAUAUGUGAUUGUGGUGGUAAAGUUUGGAAGUUGUUUUUCUUAAUAACUCCAAUUAACUUGAAGUUGUUACCUGAUUUAUUAUGACAGUGUGCAUUACGAUAAGUAUCCUUGCAUAUUAAGAUUUUCCUUCCAGAUCUUUGCGGUACUUUUUGAUCUUUUCCGACAUGAUAUGCGAUUAUGGGAAGCAUAUGCCAUCACCUUACAGGUAUUCUCUUAAUUUUUAGAUAGUGCUCAAGAUGACAUUCAAGUUGGCUAUUAUUGGGUGCAAGAUUUACCAUGCUCUUAUUUUGCUUUUUUAGUCUAACCCGAUAUUUGCUUAAUACCAUGAUCUGCUUCAAGCCUUGGAUGAAAAACUUUCAUUUUUUGUAUAUUCUGCAAUGAGAUGAAGGUAGUUUUUGUGAUGAUAUUUGGCAGUAAAUUGGGACUAACUAAAGUAAUUUUCUUAAUGGCAUGUCUACUUCUCAGAUGAAUGACCGUCUGUUCAGACUCCCAAGUGAUGAAUUAACAACCACCGAUCUAUUCUGGGUGAAGAUGAUGACGUUGACACCAAGCCAGUGGAAUGACUAGGACUUCCCUUUUGUUNNNNN
rnacentral:lncRNA from 1 species